GACGAACGCUGGCGGCGUGCUUAACACAUGCAAGUCGAGCGGUAAGGCCCUUUCGGGGUACGACGAGCGGCGAACGGGUGAGUAACACGUGGGUGACCUGCCCUCAGCUCUGGGAUAAGCCUGGGAAACCGGGUCUAAUACCGGAUAUGACUCCAUGACGCAUGUUGUGGGGUGGAAAGCCUUGUUCGGCUGAGGAUGGGCCCGCGGCCUAUCAGCUUGUUGGUGGGGUGAGGCCUACCAAGGCGACGACGGGUAGCCGGCCUGAGAGGGCGACCGGCCACACUGGGACUGAGACACGGCCCAGACUCCUACGGGAGGCAGCAGUGGGGAAUCUUGCGCAAUGGGCGAAAGCCUGACGCAGCGACGCCGCGUGAGGGAUGACGGCCUGGUGUAAC
rnacentral:rRNA from 1 species